UUUAAAAACCUAAAUCCACGCGGACGAAGUCGCGGGCAUUCUCUAGUAUUAAUAUAAAGAUCGGACGUAAGCAAUAUCUGAGUUUUUUAUCCGUAUUUUCACGGACUUGUAUCGGAUGAGUGCGUACAGUAAUUUGAUUCCUAAGCCAUUAAGGAAGUUUCCCUAUCCAAACUUGCAGUUUAUUAGCUCAGAUCAGCUCUCUAAUGCCAACCAUAUUUUUAAUUCCUCAACAAACGCAUUGAAUACCUCUUCGCCUUGUCGGUUAGAAAGCUUCAAUACCCCCCUUAACAUUCGUACCGUCAGUUAUAAACGUACCGCACGAACUAAAUCCGUACCCAAGCGUACCAUCAAUGUAUUUGAAGAACUAUAUUGUAUAACAGUUUUUUAAAUGGCAGAAACAUAUUUACAACAUCCAACACUCCACCACACUACCAACAUCCGACGUGACGUGUUAUCCUGUUUUGGAAAUGCUUCUGGUCAUACAAAAAUAUACUUUAGUCAACAUGUGGCGUUGAGUGUUGUAAGUGUGCCCCAGCCAUUAUUAUGCUUUAACAUUUUUUUGCUGUUUUGACGAUAUAAAAGUAUAAUAUGAGGCAUUUUUUGUAAUAAUAUUAGGUGUUUUUGAUUUUAUAGGUUUAGUUUUUGCUAUGCUGGAUGUAAAUCAAAUUCAUACUGUGAUAAGUUUCGAUUGUUUGCGUUCGCAUGAAUAAAACAAAUUAAUAAUACUGA